AUCCCCACCGCUUUCCCUCACCUGAACGUCUUCGUAAUUGCAACGACAAGCACUUACCUGAAAGCGAUUUGCUUACAACUUAACCGAGCUCUUUGACUGCAUGUUAUAAUGUAGUCUAAAUAAAACGUGAAUUAAAGAGUAUAUUUUCAGUUGGCAUUACCCAACGCAUUCUGUAUCAAUAAAGCUACAUAUUCAUUAGAAAUUGUCCCACACUGCUAAAUAGUGUGUUUUAAUAGUGCUUUUAAUAAAAUAGCAUAUGUUAUAUUCUUGUAAUCAGUCCUUUGUUGGUUGCAAACGAAAAACAACAGUCAAGAAAUAAGAAUAAGGAAUUAAGAAUAAUAAGAUAAGGUGAAAUAAGAACUUUAAUAAAGAAUGAGAAUAAUUAAAAUAAAAAUGUAUGUAGAAUUUCAUAGCCAAGGUUGUGUGUAUUAAAAAAAGAUUAAUCUAUCUCUAGUUAUAUUUUCAGAAUUAAGCCAAACACAAAAGCCAUUAGUUAUUUCCCUGCUCUCCGCUAUGUUUGGCAAAAGUGAUUAUUUAUUUUUUUAACACAGCAGCACCAAACCGAAGCAUCACGUAGGAGGCACACUGCAGUCUGUGAAAAUAAAUUGAACGACUCAAUGACUCCAAAGUACGAUUCAUUUAGAUCAGCUGACUCAAACAUACUGAUUCAUUUUAAUGAAUCAGACCUCCCAAUACUACUGAAUAGGGCCUGCCAAGAGUUGUAGGAUGGUUUCCUCUAGUCCCUGCUGCCGAUGCGAGAGGGAGUGCUUGGCCUACGCCUGGAAUCCUGCGCUGUCAUAUUGAAGUGUGCUGAAAGUGGCUGAGAACAGCUGUGGCUUAUGCAGCUGGCUGCCCACAUAAUCCGGGCUGCCAGGCUGAUUUCUGGAACACCAAUCCGGCCAAAGUGGCCCAAGUUUGACUCUGCCAGACAAACCAAAAGCCACUGUGCUGCACAGCCGAUAUAAAAGCCAUUGUCCACAGCACCCUUUGUUCUGGGAAAAAAGGCCAAACUGCCAACUGGAUUUUAUUUACAAAUCAAUCGCAAAUGAAAUAAAUCAUGGCGAUUUUAGCCCAAGGAUGUCGAUCUAACAAAUACUGCUGUUGCAACACACUGUUUUUAAAACAGUGGAACCCUUUGCAUUGGAUGCAAUAUCCCAGAUGUAGUGUUGCAAAUUCAUACUUUGCAGUCUUGUUGAAUUUAGGUAUUUGGGCAGACGCUGUCAUCCAGAACGACUUGUGUCAGUGCAUGCAAAAAUGGUGACAGGAGGAAGAGAUGAUGCCCGUCUAUUAGGGUCAAAGCCAGUAGUAGUCAUUAAUACAUAACAUAAGCAACAUGAACAGCCAUAAUGGUUCCACAGUAGGUUUGGCACUUUGUUUCAUAGAGGCCUAUAAAAUUCUCUGCGUGUAGUAACACAAUUUCUAAGAAUAAUUUUCUGCACACAACAGAUAUUCCAGUCUAUUAAUACCAAAUGCUUAUUUUUCAUUUGUGCCACAAUAAAUGGGCUAAUAAAAGCAUUUUUUAAUUUGAAACCCAUGCAUUUUACUCAGCCAACCCAGCAUCUCGCCAGCCUCAGCCUUAGGUAAAUAACAUCCCAUUAAAUAAGUGUCAGUUGUGCAACAAAGCAGGCAAGAAAAUAAAUUCUUAAACCAUCCGCAGUUUGCAUUGUAUGAUGGCCUGAAAAUACCUGAUACACAUUCAAAACAUCUCAAAUUGAUAAUCGCAACAAUAAAAAAUAAAAUGAAAAUAAAAAUACUUUUGUGUUCAGCACUUUCAUAUAUCCACAAUGUAGAAUUAAAAAAGAAUAAAGGCCAUACAGUUUUGUUCAGGGCACGUUUGUAGUUGCUUAUUGCAUGAUGGAAAAACUGAUUCUCAACUGGUGCUUGGGGCACUUUCUCCAUGUCAUUAGUAUUAAUGGCACUUCCAAACUAGGUGGCGACAGCAUUUACUGGGACAUUUGUGUGGUUGCCAACCCCCGUCUAUGUGAAGAGGUCUUUGUUUUCAGUCAGCGCUGGGAGCAGGCGAGGCGAUGCUGGGAUGGUACCACAGUUCUGUGGGUGGUACGCUGGUAUGCAGCCGCCUUUAGGGUUUCUUGUUGCACAUCAGCCGUUACGGAGUUCGACUGCAAUUUCCAUCGGAUUCUGCGCAGGCGUACACGGCGCCUGCAAGAUUGUGAAUUGCGAGCUCUGAUAAUUUUAGUAAGGCAGUCUUAAUGGCUACCGGUCCACUAGCUUGCUAAAUAGACAUUCAGCCUUGGCCAGCAAACACAUUUCUCUCUUUUUAGCCAAAGGGAGAAUAUUACAUCAAUUUAUUGAAAGGCUGACCAGCUAUAAAAAUAGAGACAUUCUCAGUUUACAUUGAACUGCACAGAAGACGCACGUUUGGCUAAUUAGCUAGCAAGUUAGCGAAGCUAAAUAUUUAUAUUACUAAAUGGUGUUUCAUUCAUCAUGCAAGCCUCUGACUCCGGACAAAGGGGGAAAAGCGAGUGAUCUACAAUUUGGUGGCUAAUUGCAUCGUUCAGGGAAAUUCUAGUUGCACCAGGUCACAAUGGAUCUUCAUAAAAUAAUUCAGGACGCAUUGUACGAGUUCAUCCAGUCAUAUAUUCCCAACGCAGACCUCAGCACGCUUGAUGACGUGAUCCUUUCCUAUAUAACGGGUGUACUGGAGGACUUGGGCUCCCAGGACAGCGUGGAGGAGAACUUUGACGUGGAGGUGUUUGUGGAAAUGCUGGAGGCCUACAUCCCCGGAUUCGCUGAAAUAGACAGUGUCAAAGUAUGUGAGAUGAUGUUUAACCUGUCUUCAAAACUGGCAAUGGCUCGGAAUACAGAAAGCGGUCAGCCAAAGGUGGGGUCGGAGUCUUCACUGAAAGAUGGUACUGCCUCAGCAUCCUUCUCUGUGCAACAGCAGGACUUCACAGCACCACCAGAGGGCGCCACAGCCAAGGAGGGUGACGGAGAAGGUACCGGCCAGGUGCAGCACCUCCUGGAGAUGUUCCCAAAAUGCAGUGUGACCGAGGCCAGGAGCGCCCUGAGCAUCGCCAAGGGCGACAUGGAGGAGGCAGUCCGGCUCAUCAUCGAAGGAGACCUGCAGCUCAGCCAAGCCCCGCCCCUUAACGUGAACCACGGAAAGACCAUUUCUUCGGUAGCUGACGAAAAGUUGAAAGCGAGCAUUCUUGAGAAAUACAUGUUGGUGGACAGUGAGGAAGACAAGAAGAUCCACAGACCGGUUACUCCUAAAGACGCGCCCAAGAAGCUUGUGCGUUACCACGGUAACCAGGUGGUGACCACGAAAGGGGAGAGGUACCACCAGGUGAAGAAGGAGGAGGCCGAGGACAUGAAGAAGACUUACAUCAGCCUGAAACCCGCCCGCAAGUACCGCUUCCACUGAUGAUGUCAUCUGCUUCUGAGGGAGCAGAGCACUACGUUUUAUGUACUUUUUUAAAACUUUUUUUUUUUUUUAUUCCCCCACCGGUUGUUUUUUCAUUUUUCAUUUUUGUUUUAGCUUUUCCUGGACAAGACAAAUCAGUUGUUUGGUUUGUACCACUUUUUUUAAAUGUAUGCUUUUCGCAGGUCCCUUUUCAGUGGAUAUUUUUUGAAGACGUUUAAAUAUGGCGGUGACUGAUUGACUGGUCAGGUGAGUGGUAUGGAGGUAGAAACGCCUGCGUCGUGUGGAGUUUCCCUGACUGAUUAAGUUUCAUAUUCUCACCGAAGCAAAAAGGGAACAUUUAGCAGAAAUGAGUCACACUUUCCUCUGGCGAAGAACCAGGAACACAGGAGAACCUCCAAGAUGGGAAUGGCACAGGGAAUGCUCACAACAUGCAAGUGAUGACAAAUAGCACCCACAUUAAUCUUCUAUUGAUUGUGGAUUACUCAAAGUACAGUGGACUUUUUUUUUUUAAAGGUUAAUUUCAUUUUGUAGGAUGUACCCUAGUUUAAAUGAACCAAUAAUCAAAGCAGUGGUAAUCAUAAUUGGACUCUUUUAGAAUGUUUUAUUUUUAUUUAUUUUAUUUUUUAAUAUGCCAAAUGAAACCUCAUUUUCAGGUACCUACUUUUGACCUCUUUUGUGAACGGUAUAAUUUUGUUCCCCUCUUUAUUUCAAACACUGCGGACUUUCCCUCACACUGUUUUUUUUAGCAGUAUUGCUUUCCCCUUAGUGCCCAUGCUGUUUCUGAGGUAUGCCGUACAUUAUAUUAUUACAGGCUUGCUGCUAGUAGUUGCAACACUACCAGGGUUAUAAUAUCAAAUAAUCAUGCAGGUAAUGGUAACAUGGUGUAAAAAGCACAUUUAAUUCAGUUUCAUAAUUGUUAAGGUUUUUAAAGUUUUAUUUACAGUCUGAUGACACUGCUUUAUUCUACCCACAGGGAUACAGUGGGUCAAGUGAAGCUUUAGCAGUACAGUAUAAUGCAUAGCUUCAGCUCACACCCAAUUAUAAAUACAAGUAUUCAGUCAUUUAAAUCAACAGAUGUUUAAUAUAUUUAUAAGAAAUCGGAUGUCAUCGUAUCCACUGAAUCCAUGGAACAUUUUUCAUUUUGAGGUGUGGCUAGGUUUCAGUCUACAUUUUCAACUUUGACUAGCAAUUAAAAUCAAGAUUUUUUUUUCCAUGAACAAGUUGAAAAUUCAGCAAUCACUAAAAUAAACUUGUAAUAAACUAAUGUUUGCAUUUAUACCAUGCAAGUCAAAGUUAAGGAAAAAUGUUGAGAGCAUACAAGCCUGCAAGUCGUGCAGGUAAGCUCUGACAAUAUAAGUUCUUUACGUAGUACAAUUUGUUGUGGAAUCUGUAAAGAUGUUAACCAGAUAAAAAUCUCCAGUCUGUUGGGGGCGAUAUUUGUGUUUUCUUGUAUUCCAAAUAUUUUGUUUAUUAUACUUUGAAAUCUUUGGUCUCAAUUGUCUGUUGUUCUUAUGUAAUUUAACUAGGUUUGCCGUGCACAGUAAAAUGCCCAGUGUCAAACUCUUUAACAGUGUACAUUUGAGUCCAACAGGGGCAUUAUGUAAGAGCUGAUUUAUCACCGGACAUUUGACCGUGUGUUGUAACAUUAGAUGUGUACUGAAGUGUAGAGGGUUGGUUAGAAUGACAGUGUUGUGACAUGAUGUAGGCAAGUUUACAUGUCUGUAAUUUGUCUUGCGUUAAUUUUGGCGAUGAACCACACUGAACUAGCAAAUUGCACUGCAGGGAGUGUUACAUUUUUGGAUAAUACGUAAAACUGAGGUUCUAACAAGCCCAGAUUUAGCAGACCCACAUUGCUCUUUGCCAUUAAUGGAGUGACUGAGUACAACAGCGCAAAAUCACGGGCCUGUCGCCGUAGGAUUUUUCUGCCGUCCCGAAAAUAGAUUGGAUUCGCAGUUCCUCUAUAAUUAACUCGUCACCUGUGGUGACCAUUUAUAGCUCAGUUUGGAAACACUUUCAGGAAAAAUCUGUGCUUUCUCAGAUGAAGGCAGUGUGUCCAGACUAAAAAUACUUUUGACUAGCCUUUUAAAAAUGUAAAAUGUGCACAUUGUAUUAAGAAUUAGUUCUCUCUCCAGGAGUUGUAUUACAUUCUGAGCUAUGACUUGUCCCUGAUGUUAAUAUAAGCUUAACGUUCGUUGAAAAUGGUGGAAUACUAAUGAAUGCUUUGUAGUUUGGCUGAGUUUGGGCCUCUCUGUUUUAUUUCCAAGUUUUGAUGGUAAAGUCCGAGUCUCAAGCUUCCUCAGUCUGGCCCUUUAAACUUCAGCAGAUCCCUGCUUCUCCUGUGCUGGUGGAUGAUGUACGUGGGGGCAAAAUGGCCUGGUCUGAUGCUCAGCCUAAGAGUGGGCUGCUGCAGAUCGCUGCUUCACUCCACCGUAGGUGGCUUGUGAUCAAAAACGGUUGAAAGUGUCACACGAGGUGUGUCAUUACUGCAAUUGUGCAUCUCUGUGGAUGAUCACUUGUACACUUGUCAUUAUCAUAUAUUUUUUGCUUACAAACUUAGCAAUCACAUAAGGCUGAGAUUUCCAUCUAGGCUAAUGCAGAGGUCAAAGGAAGCUUGUGAUAAACUGAAGGUAGGCGUUAUAAUGAAUGACACUGGGCUUCAUAAUGGCUGGUUAUAUAAACUGAACAUAGGCGUUAUAAUGGAUGACACAGCUUCAUAAGGUUCGGAUCCAUAAGGAGCCCAAAUGUUUCUGCCAUAGUGGAUUGUGUCCAGUGAUAUAUUUUGUUUAUGUUCCCUUCCCCCAAAUGUAUGAGUGUCUUAGAAACUGCACUGAUGUAGAAAAAUGUCUAUUUUGUGUACUAAUGUGGUUUUUGUAGCUUUUCUUUAAUCUUUUUUAAAUUUGAUUUAUUGUUUGACUCAUAUUUUGGAUGUUAGUUUGGGUACUGUUUUAAUGUAAAACUUCAAACUGUUCAGGCUCAAAGAUAGUUGUUGGUUUAGAGACUAUUUCACUUCAAAAAUACAUGUUCUCUAUUUUUAUACACAGAGAUAUAGAUUUGAAAGGCUUUGCUAUUAAGUCUACCAGUGAUAUUCAUCCAUUUGUAAAGAAGCGUCUUUACAUUACUGAAAAUAUAUACCAAAAAAUGUAAUUUACUUGUUUACAUGGUAUGUCUCAUCUCAUUUGUAUUUUCUAUUUUUUGCCUUUUGUUUUGUCUUUCAAUAAGCAGGACAAUUUGUUUUGUAUGAAAGCUAAUGGUUUUCAAUACACUGGAUCUGUGUUGUGCAUUUUUCUAAUUUAUUGCUCGAUAGGUUUUUCUUCUUUACAUGGUCUUUUUUACAGUUCAGGUGGAUUUUAAUUUUCACUGACAAAUUCUUUAGAUUUUACACAAUCGAUUUUGUGGUUUGAUUACUGGAUGGCUAAUUUACUAAGUCACAUCUUUUAAGAUGUAUGGUUUUCUGUCGCAUGAAAGCACAUAAUGCAGAUUUGUUUCCCUGUUUCUAAGUGGUGUUUGAUCUUAAUGACUGAAGUAAUGCUGAUUUACCCAACAAGUAUACACAUACAUGUGAGUAACUGCCUGUACACAAAUGAUAAAACAUCUGUAAAUUCAGUCCUUGACAAACCUUAUUUUAACAUUUAAGCUUUUGUGUGCCACAGUUUGUGAAAUUAGUGUCACUUGUUUUAUUCCUUCUGUGUGUGUGUGCGCGUGCGUGCGUGUGACUAUUACAAAGCAGUACUGUUGUGAAUUCCAGAUUUAACAGCUGCAAUACACACACAUUGCUUGCGUUCAGCAAUGAGAUUAUGUAACGUAUGCAUUUUAUCUUUGGUUAGAAUCACCUAAUAUAGUCAAGAGUAGGGAUGGAAAAAUGGAGCUUUAGAAUUUGGGCAGCAGUGUGUGCAUGUGAGCUAGAUGGUAGCUACAUUUCUUACAGAAAAUGUAGCUCAGACCUUUUUUUUUUUUUUUUUUUUUACUUCACUACAGUGGAGAUUCAACUGGUGAGGAAGUGGUAGCAUGUUAGCUUUUCUUGAUUGCACUUCUAUGAGGCUGCAUGAUGAAACCUGUAGCUAGCAUGUGCUAAUAGCAUCUGCCCAUAGAAAUAGAUUUAACAUCAUAACUUCUGUAAUCGAACAUUCACAGUGGAACCUGUAUGAUUAUAGCCAGCGGAAAAUCUCACACCCUUGAUAAAUGGCUAAUAGAAAGUUUGAUAAAUUGAUUUUCUUGAAGUUGCAAUGAAAAUAGGGUCACAUUAGAAUGGUUUGGUUUUAUUUGGUGCUGCCUACACAAGGUAUAAUCAUGGGUCAGGGUUUAUAUAAUUGGAGCCUGAAGUGUAAAUCUUCAUAAAUCCAUUAAAACAUUGACCAUUCAUUUGGGACCUUUAAAUUUAUAAGGCAGGAUUUGACCUGCCUCUCAGUCAGAGUUCUAACUUGACUCGACUGCCAAAAAUGAGCACAUGAAGUCCUAUGAGAUAAGACUUGCAGAACAGACUCCAAGAAGUGUGAAUAAUAGCAUGCUUAUUAAUGGCUGUCUGAUUUUGGUGCACUCCAGGUCCUACUCUGUUAGUUUUACAGUCACAAAAAUAGUCUAGUUUAUAUGUAAAUUAGGACAUUUUCUGUCCACAGGACAUUUAAGGUUAACCUGAUACUGUAAUCACAAUAUUUAUAUUGUUUUGCAAAAAUAAAAAUUUUGGUUAUCCAAAAAAAA